AGGAGGGGACGGGAGGGGAGCGGGGAGCUGGCAUGCAGCCAGCUACCAUCAGAAUUAGCUCAUUGUUCAAUAUAACCAGCGCUGGCAGCCAAAUCCCAGCCCGAGAGAGAGGGAGACUUUCCCCCAGCCACCCCCCACCCCUUUUUCUCCACGACUGCACUUUGGAAGAGAUCAUGUAGAAAGGACAGAAAGUGAGCAGGGAGCGGGGGCUUUUGUCUAUCCUUGUGCUACCUGAGAGAAACUGCAAUCCUAAGACUUAACAGAAUCUAAAAAUGCACCCAUCUAUAAAGACAAACUUUUUGAAGUUAAGGAGAUUUGCCAUACAGUGAUGGAUGUACCUUGAAAGUCUCCGCAUGUUGAAUCUUUGAUUUUCUUGCAAUUUUUGAAUAAAAAUCUGAAAUCUC